UACGAAGGGGGCUAGCGUUGCUCGGAAUCACUGGGCGUAAAGGGUGCGUAGGCGGGUUUUUAAGUCAGGGGUGAAAUCCUGGAGCUCAACUCCAGAACUGCCUUUGAUACUGAAGAUCUUGAGUCCGGGGAGAGGUGAGUGGAACUGCGAGUGUAGAGGUGAAAUUCGUAGAUAUUCGCAAGAACACCAGUGGCGAAGGCGGCUCACUGGCCCGGUACUGACGCUGAG
rnacentral:rRNA from 1 species